rnacentral:rRNA from 1 species
UACGUAGGGGGCAAGCGUUGUCCGGAAUCAUUGGGCGUAAAGAGCGUGUAGGCGGCUCGGUAAGUCCGCUCUGAAAGCCCGGGGCUCAACCCCGGGAGGCGGGUGGAUACUGUCAAGCUCGAGUCCGGAAGAGGCGAGUGGAAUUCCUGGUGUAGCGGUGAAAUGCGCAGAUAUCAGGAGGAACACCAAUGGCGAAGGCAGCUCGCUGGGACGUGACUGACGCUGAGACGCGAAAGCGUGGGGAGCAAACAGG